rnacentral:rRNA from 1 species
UGGGGAAUAUUGCGCAAUGGGGGAAACCCUGACGCAGCAACGCCGCGUGAAGGAUGAAGGUCUUCGGAUCGUAAACUUUUGUCCUAUGGGAAGAAUAAAUGACGGUACCAUAGGAGGAAGCCACGGCUAACUACGUGCCAGCAGCCGCGGUAAUACGUAGGUGGCAAGCGUUGUCCGGAUUUACUGGGUGUAAAGGGCGUGUAGGCGGGCUUAUAAGUCAGAUGUGAAAUGCCAAGGCUUAACCUUGGAGCUGCAUUUGAAACUAUUAGUCUUUGAGUGAUGGAGAGGAAAGCGGAAUUCCUAGUGUAGCGGUGAAAUGCGUAGAUAUUAGGAGGAACACCGGUGGCGAAGGCGGCUUUCUGGACAUUAACUGACGCUGAGGCGCGAAAGCGUGGGGAGCAAACA